CCUCUUUAGUUGUUUGUCUUUACUGAUGGAGAGGUGGGGAACACCAAAGAAGUGAUCGCUCUGGUUAAGAAGAAUUCAGGUUCCCACAGGUGUUUCUCUUUUGGGAUUGGGGAAGGGGCCAGCUCUGCUCUCAUCAAUGGGAUGGCCAAGGAAGGAGGAGGUCAUGCUCAGUUCAUCACAGGGACUAACAGGAACCAAAAGUGAUGCAGUCGCAGCAAUUUUUUCCUGCAACCAGCUGUGGAAGAUGUUUCUGUUACAUGGGAUUUACCAAAGGGAUCCACUAUCACUGUCCUCUCUCCACCAAUCACAACCAUUUUCCAGGGUCAAAGGUCACUGAUUUAUGCCCAGCUUACUGGACAGAGCUCAGAGGCAGCAGAGGGCUGUGUGACGCUGAAGUACAGCCUGGCAGGUCAUCCCUCUGAGAACCAGCUGCACUUCAGUCUCAGACCUGCAGAGAACACUGGCUUAAUAGUCCACAGGUUAGCUGCUCGGACUCUUAUUUGCUUGCUAGAGAUGGAAGCAGAAAACAAUGAGAAAAAAGAAGAAGUAAAAAAGAAGGUGGUGCAGCCGAGUGUCCAAUCAGGAGUGAGCAGUUCUUUUACUGCUUUCAUUGUUGUCAAUAAAGAAAACAACAAGGAGAUUCAAGGACCUCUUCUGCACCGAGAUAUUCCAAUGGCUGGUCUAAUGAGAUGUGUUGCUACCC